rnacentral:lncRNA from 1 species
CUGGUGAGUGGUGGAGCCUGGGUUAGAACUCAGAUUUUCUAACUUACAAAAAAAUCUUUUAGAAGGAUAUCAAAAUCAGCCUUAAUCAGAAUGCAAAAAUAAAUUUAAAAGUAGGCAGAUAGCAGCAAUAUCAACAACAAUAACUGGUAUUUUAUAAGUGCUUACUAUAUGCUGGGUACUGUGACAAGGUUUUGCUGGAUUAUCUCAUUUAAUCAUUACAACCAUCCUGUGAGGUGACAACAUUAUUAUUAUUUCCAUUUUGUAGAGAAAGCAAUUGAGCACAGAGGAGUUAAGUCCUACACACAAUGAAGUAGUGCAGUAAAGACAGGAAUGCCUGUGUGGUCCGGCUCUGGAAGAUGACCCUCAUCACAGCUGUCAUUUGGCCUUGCAGUCCACUUCAGAAGACACAUGCAGUGCAUCUUCACAACCUCAUCUGGAAGCUAUUUGUUUUACUCUUAGAAUCUGGAGCGGAGCCAAGCUUAAACCUUGGCCCUCAGUUAUGGAAUGUUGGAAAUUUGGUGCACCUUUGGAAGCUCUGAAGAGGGAGGCACUUGUGUGUCUUCUUGCAAAAGGCAUGCUCCUGUCCUGAUCAAGCCAUUGAAGACCCUCCAUUGCCUUGGGGAAAACCUUAUGCUUCUGGUUUGACAUUCUUGUUUGUGUUUCCAUUACCUAGUCCUAGGAAACUCCAACUUAUCCCGAUCCUUCCUGCCUUUUUUUUUUCUUGGUAUAGAUCCCUCUCCCAGUCCAUGAAGCUGGUUGUUUGAAGACUUUUGGUCAGUACCACCUGUUGGUCAUUUAAACAAUGACUCAACCUGUGACUGAAAUUCUAAAUGGAAGACAAAUAUUACAGAUAUUUGAAUAUCCCUUGGUAAUUUACUGAUUGUGACUACCCAAUAUAUUCAAGCACACACAAUGGGCUGCAUAUGUAUCCCACAGUGGUCCUCUAAGGUUAUAAGGGAGCUGAAAAGUUCCUGUAACCUUGUGAUACUAUAACUUCACAAUAAAAUGCAGUAUCCAUGUUUUUGUGGAGCUGCU